rnacentral:rRNA from 1 species
CACGUAGGGUGCGAGCGUUGUCCGGAAUUAUUGGGCGUAAAGAGCUCGUAGGCGGUGUGUCGCGUCGGCCGUGAAAACCUGCAGCUUAACUGUGGGCUUGCGGUCGAUACGGGCAUCACUGGAGUUCGGCAGGGGAGACUGGAAUUCCUGGUGUGGCGGUGAAAUGCGCAGAUAUCAGGAGGAACACCGGUGGCGAAGGCGGGUCUCUGGGCCGAUACUGACGCUGAGGAGCGAAAGCGUGGGGAGCGAACAGG